UUCAAUGUUGUGAGUGUGAGUCUAUGAGUCUACUAUGAGAAUUCGGUGUUUGUUCCUUGGAUGUGAGAGUGGGGAUGAGAUGGUGUGUGUAUUUUGUUGUUAUUGAAGAUGUAAGUCGUACGGAUAAACUACAGCGAUGUGCGUAAUCAAAUAUCACAGAAACGAUGUAUUUCAUCGGUAAAGAUUUUACUGCACUGAGAAUAUAUAAUAUUGGUGUCUACAGACCGAGAAUAAGUGUUGUUGUAUUCCCAAGUGGGCUGCGGCACUUUAGAGAACGCUCAAAUUGGUUGCGCCCUUUUCAAAUGGCACUCAACUUUUAAGUAACUACUUUACCAACAACGCAAGGCUGUGUUGCUGAUUUUGUAGUAUGGAGCUGCAGAAACUGUGCAUAAUUGUGAUAGCUAUGAAAAUAGUAUGAGACAUAAUACCAUCACGUCAUGCACAGAGAAUCCAGAGGAGCCCUCCAUUCUCACAACAGUAAACAUCAAGAUGAAGAAAUACUAUCAGUUAGUUUUGGUAAUUGUGUCUGUGUUGCUGCAACACGGCUGAAGGUUACAGAUUUCUAACUUUGUGCUUUACUGUGAGUAAAUGGUGAUACCUUCGCAGUGAUUAGAACAGUGGGACAGUGAUUGGGUCCAAAUUACUCAAGGAUGAACUAAGUGAUCAUAGGGGCUUCCAGUUAGUUUUGUAUUGGCAAAUAUUUUACUGAUAUAUGUAUAUAUAAAACUGCUGAGUUAUUACAGGUUUGGUGGGCAUUUUGUAUACAGUAGUGACAAAUAGUUUGAUGAGCUUGUAUGUGGAGAACACAGGCUUAGAUUGUCAUCUCUGCAAAUGAAAUGGUUGCAAAUUUUAUGUAAAUAGUUAAUAACAGUGCCAUAAAUUCUUUUUUUUGUGGUGUUAGGAAUUUUCCUGGUUUCUGAGCUCUUAAUUUUGAAGAGUAUAUGGAGUCAUUAACAUUUGUUAAACAUUGUGGCCUCUGUAUGUGAACCUCAGCAAUUGUACUUGACAGACGAUCUUCCUCUGCUAUGCUGUCCUUCACUUUCUGUAGUAUUAUACCUCAUUUUAAGACACAUUCAUAGUAAUAUCCUUCCCGUUUUAAGGUAACAACAUCCAGAUGAUCCAUUCACAGAAUGACAAAUUUCAUUUUUCUUUCACUUCUUUUUCAUCUUGUGUUUGAUGGAGAAAAUGUCAGUCCCCGUGAUUUUUUUCUACUCAUUUCUCAUACACAGCUAAAACGAUUAUAUUCACAAGUUGCACUGCCUCCCGUUUUGCUAUUGCCUUACUAACGCUGCCCAUAUGUUUCCACUCAGCCUGCAGUGCAGAACGAACCUGUCAUAUGUGCAAGCACUGUGCUUUACACAAAGGCACAUUUUCACGUGGUUUGAGAUAUGUGUUAGCCAGUUGUUCACAAAUCAAAAUGUGGACAGUGAUAUUUCAUAUAAUUUCAAACAAAAUUUCAUUUAACGAGAACGCAUUUCUCGUAUUAUGUGCUGUAUUAUUUCGACAAAGGCUGCAGUAGGUGUAUUAAGAGACAAAUUAUUGCGUCCGUCUAUCAUUAGGAGGAAUUUUUAUGUUUUCUGUUGUUUGAACAGAUAAGAUUCUGCGAGCUAUUUGUUGACAAGCAUAACAUUUUCUGUUAAUCGCCUAGCGUGCGCGUAUACGGUCUGCCUGAUACCUGCCUUGCUGACAGUAAAUUCUUCCAACCAGCGUAUCUUCUCAUUUACAUGUAACACUCGAUGAUACCUUUGUCUGUAAUACCAUAGAAAACGGUGAAGUUAAGAUAUUAUUUCAUUUUAAUAGUUAAUUGGACCUAAUCAGGCAUUUGCUGAAAAUCCUUCCCAACAUGUUCAUCAUCUGGAUAGGUAAUGUACAAGGAAUACUUCUCCAAAAUAAAUGCUACGAAUUAUUUAAACCCUGGCAUUCUAAGACAACUAAUAUUUAAAGAAGUUAAUGUCCAAAAUACGUGGUACUUGAUCGUGUAUAUAUUUCAUCUAGUUCCAUUAAAUUUAAUCUGUUUUUGUGUUUUUAGUCAAUACUCUUAUUUUUAAGAGAAGCUUAUAAGUUUAUACUGUCACAACCUUGUGGUUGACACACAACUUUAGUUAGCCUCAUAUGAAAGAUCUCCUUCGGGCCUCAUAAUUCUGGUGGGGAAAAAAAUCACAUGUAGAAAAAAUCUUUAUGUAAAUCAGAAACCAGUAACUGCUACCACAAAUAAUAUUCUCUGAGAAGAUACCUUCAUUCUAUUUGGUUGCAGGCUCCUUGACAGUCUUUCCUGGGCCAACUGGUCCUCCUGUCUCUGCUCAGCUACGUUCUAGAUAAGAGAUCCCAUCUCUAUGUUCCAAAUCUUCUCCAUGUUCAAAUUUCUCACAAGUAAACCUCAUUUUGAUGGGUUAGAGAUGCUGCCAAUGAAACUUCAUGCAGGGUUUGUUGCCACACACUCACACUACAUCAAGACCUCAUAGUUAUCUCUAUGGAGCUUUUGAAGUUUUAAUCUGUUCAGUUUCUUGACUUCAUGAGCAUCAGAAUCCAUUAGGACACUCCUUGCCCUAAGUUGUCCCAUAUUCAGAGUAUCUACCUGGCAGGAUGCUCAGACAAUGGGUUAUUUGCCAAAAGCCAGUGUUUAAGAUGCUGACAAGCUAUUUUAAUAAUGGAAUUUUUAUUUGUUGCAAGGUUUGAAAGUUCAUUCAUGUAUAUCAUAGGUAAAAGGACAAAAACUUUCUUGAUGUUCUGCAAAAAUUAUUUAUUUAAUUAUGAACCACAGCAUAUUAUAGAAUGUUUAUUCACUGUAUCAAAAGGAAAUUUCUCUUGAGAAUAACCACAAUCCUCCAUUUUGUCUCUUGUUUUUACACUUUUCCAUUUUCACGUAAUAUAGUAGGUGCCCUAUUCAUAAGGGGCCCCAGGAAAAGUGUUAUAAAAUCUUAAUAGAAAAAGGAAAAAAACCAAGAAAUGAAGGUACAUUAAAUUACAUCACACACACACACACACACACACACACACAC